UCCAGACUCUUGCUGCCAUGGUACUCUUAAAUCCUGAAUCAAAAUAAGUUCUAUCUGAUUCUGUCUGGUACUUUGUCACAAGAGAAAGGUAACAAAUACAGAUGGCAUUCACUUCUUAUUCAGCUGCUCAAAGUUCAGGCUGCCUUCCAAAAUGAUGACUCCAAUUGUGUUGACAAAAUCCAGCCAGACCAACCCAUCUCAAAGAAACUAACAACAAAAGACUGACAAGCUGGUGAGAUAAUUCAGCAGAUAGAAGUUCCUACCUGCAAACCUGAUGACCAGAGUUUAAUCUCUAGAACCCACACCCACAAAUGGGAAAAUAACAUUUAAAAAUAUUACAGUCUG